rnacentral:rRNA from 1 species
GAUGAACGCUAGCUACAGGCUUAACACAUGCAAGUCGAGGGGCAGCAUGAUUGAAGCUUGCUUCAAUCGAUGGCGACCGGCGCACGGGUGAGUAACACGUAUCCAACCUGCCGAUAACUCGGGGAUAGCCUUUCGAAAGAAAGAUUAAUACCCGAUAGUAUAGUAUUUCCGCAUGGUUUCACUAUUAAAGAACUUCGGUUAUCGAUGGGGAUGCGUUCCAUUAGAUAGUUGGCGGGGUAACGGCCCACCAAGUCAACGAUGGAUAGGGGUUCUGAGAGGAAGUCCCCCACAUUUGAACUGGGACCCGGGCCAAACCUCUACGGGAGGCAGCAGUGAGGGAUAUUGGGCAAUGGACGAGAGUCUGAACCCGCCAAGUAGCGUGAAGGAUGACUGCCCUAUGGGUUGUAAACUUCUUUUAUACGGGAAUAAAGUGGAGUAUGCAUGCUCCUUUGUAUGUACCGUAUGAAUAAGGAUCGGCUAACUCCGUG